GAUGAACGCUGGCGGCGUGCCUAAUACAUGCAAGUCGAGCGAACAGACGAGGAGCUUGCUCCUCUGACGUUAGCGGCGGACGGGUGAGUAACACGUGGAUAACCUACCUAUAAGACUGGGAUAACUUCGGGAAACCGGAGCUAAUACCGGAUAAUAUAUUGAACCGCAUGGUUCAAUAGUGAAAGACGGUUUUGCUGUCACUUAUAGAUGGAUCCGCGCCGCAUUAGCUAGUUGGUAAGGUAACGGCUUACCAAGGCAACGAUGCGUAGCCGACCUGAGAGGGUGAUCGGCCACAAUGGAACUGAGACACGGUCCAGACUCCUACGGGAGGCAGCAGUAGGGAAUCUUCCGUAAUGGGCGAAAGCCUGACGGAGCAACGCCGCGUGAGUGAUGAAGGUCUUCGGAUCGUAAAACUCUGUUAUUAGGGAAGAACAAAUGUGUAAGUAACUAUGCACGUCUUGACGGUACCUAAUCAGAAAGCCACGGCUAACUACGUG
rnacentral:rRNA from 1 species